rnacentral:rRNA from 1 species
UACGGGGGGGGCAAGCGUUGUUCGGAAUUACUGGGCGUAAAGGGCUCGUAGGCGCCAUCUAAGUCGGACGUGAAAUCCCUCGGCUUAACCGGGGAACUGCGUCCGAUACUGGAUGGCUUGGAUUUGGGAGAGGGAUGCGGAAUUCCUGGUGUAGCGGUGAAAUGCGCAGAUAUCAGGAGGAACACCGGUGGCGAAGGCGGAUCUCUGGGCCUUGCCUGACGCUGAGGCGCGAAAGCUAGGGGAGCGAACAGG